rnacentral:rRNA from 1 species
UACGAAGGGGGCUAGCGUUGCUCGGAAUCACUGGGCGUAAAGGGCGCGUAGGCGGCGUUUUAAGUCGGGGGUGAAAGCCUGUGGCUCAACCACAGAAUGGCCUUCGAUACUGGGACGCUUGAGUAUGGUAGAGGUUGGUGGAACUGCGAGUGUAGAGGUGAAAUUCGUAGAUAUUCGCAAGAACACCGGUGGCGAAGGCGGCCAACGGGACCAUUACUGACGCUGAGGCGCGGAAGCGUGGGGAGCAAACAGG